GACGAACGCUGGCGGCGUGCUUAACACAUGCAAGUCGAGCGAGAAAGCUCCUUCGGGAGCGAGUACAGCGGCGAACGGGUGAGUAACACGUGGGCAACCUGCCCAAGGGAGCGGGACAACCCGGGGAAACCCGGGCUAAUACCGCAUAACGCGUCAUGUCAUAAGGCGUGACGCCAAAAGGUAGCUUCGGCCUCCGCCCUUGGAUGGGCCCGCGGCGCAUUAGCUUGUUGGUGGGGUAACGGCCUACCAAGGCGACGAUGCGUAGCUGGUCUGAGAGGGCGAUCAGCCACACGGGGACUGAGACACGGCCCAGACUCCUACGGGAGGCAGCAGUGGGGAAUCUUGCGCAAUGGGCGAAAGCCUGACGCAGCAACGCCGCGUGGGGGAUGAAAUCCGUUAGGAUGUAAACCUCUUUUAUAGGGGAAGAAUAGCCCGGUUGCCGGGUAUGACUGUACCCUAUGAAUAAGCACCGGCCAACUACGUGCCAGCCGCCGCCGUAAUAC
rnacentral:rRNA from 1 species